rnacentral:rRNA from 1 species
UACGGGGGGGGCAAGCGUUGUUCGGAAUUACUGGGCGUAAAGGGCUUGUAGGCGGCCAACUAAGUCAGACGUGAAAUCCCUCGGCUUAACCGGGGAACUGCAUCUGAUACUGGAUGGCUUGAGAUUGGGAGAGGGAUGCGGAAUUCCAGGUGUAGCGGUGAAAUGCGUAGAUAUCUGGAGGAACACCGGUGGCGAAGGCGGCAUCCUGGACCAACACUGACGCUGAGGAGCGAAAGCCAGGGGAGCAAACGGG